AACGAACGCUGGCGGCGUGCUUAACACAUGCAAGUCGAACGAAGUGGCGAACGGGUGGGUAACGCGUAAUCAACCUGCCCUUCAGAGGGGAACAACAGUUGGAAACGACUGCUAAUACCACAUACUGAAGGUGGGAAUUGCGUCUAAUUAUCUCGUUGGAGGGGUAAAGGCCCACCAAGGCGAUGAUCAGUAGCAGGUCUGGUAUGUGGAACGGCCAGAUUGGGACUGAUGACAGGCCCAGACUGCUACGGGAGGCAGCAGUUGGGAAUAUUUCGUCAUUGACGAAAGUCUUACGGAGCAACUCCGCGUGAGUGAUGACGGCCUUCGGGUUGGAAAGCUCUGUUAAUUGGGACGCGGUACCGGAAUAGAAAGCAACGGCUAACUACGUGCCAGCAGCCGCGGUAAUAC
rnacentral:rRNA from 1 species